AGUGAACGCUGGCGGCAGGCCUAACACAUGCAAGUCGAACGAGUGGCGGACGGGUGAGGAAUACAUCGGAAUCUACCCUGUCGAGGGGGAUAACGUAGGGAAACUUACGCUAAUACCGCAUACGAUUGAAUGAGCCGAUGUCGGAUUAGCUAGUUGGCGGGGUAACGGCCCACCACGGCGACGAUCCGUAGCUGGUCUGAGAGGAUGACCAGCCACACUGGAACUGAGACACGGUCCAGACUCCUACGGGAGGCAGCAGUGGGGAAUAUUGGACAAUGGGCGCAAUCCUGAUCCAGCCAUGCCGCGUGGAUGAAGAAGGCCUUCGGGUUGUAAAGCCCUUUUGUUGGGAAGGCGUUACCCACAGAAUAAGCACCGGCUAACUUCGUGCCAGCAGCCGCGGUAAUUC
rnacentral:rRNA from 1 species